UCGUAUGCUAAUGUUCAAAUCACAUGUAGGUUUCAUAACGUCAAGUGGCUACCUCAAGCAACCUAUUCAGGUCUCCAUCUUCAUCGCUUUCUCUCUCUAAAUUUUUGGCGUUUAAUCGCCCAUCUAUGUCAUGUGGCAACGGUUUCAAGGGUCUUGGAUUUUAUGGUUCAUAGUGGAAGCGUUACAAAAGUUGUGUGGUUCCUCGGAGUAUGGUAAUGAGUUCUGAUGGAUGUUUUGUCAAGAGAUAUCAGAAGCUAUGGGUAUGUUGAAAGUUUUUUAUGGUGAAUUUUGAUAUAAUAAAUCCGAAAUACGUUAUUGUUUCUGAGACCAUCUUUGUAACACCCCGAAAACAGGUUUAGUAAUAAAACUCCGUUAAUACUAAAAGACGGGUAAAGUAUCGUUGGUGGUAAAAACUAACCCGUUAAAUGUUAUGAUUUAAAUAAAAAGCGAAUAAAAGCUUUUGAGGAAAAAAACAUAAGAGGCCCGAGUUAACGGGACUUAAAAAUAAAACGGGUUAUGUAACACCCCGAAAAUAUAAAUUUUUAUAUUAAACAUUUAAUGUCGGUUAUAAACAAGAUAAGUAACUAGGAACAAAUUAACCUAGUUAAUUUGUGUAUAUAAGAAACAAGACAAUGAGUUGAAGUCACAAUUAUAUAGAAACUAAACUUGAGGGACCAAAGCUACCAAAAAGGAAACUUGUUUUAUUAAAACAUAAAAAUCAACACAUAUCACACACUCAGUGUGUGUAUAUGUCGAUCAUCAGGAGAAGAAACAAAGGGAAACCCUUGUUCAACCUUAAUCCAUCAAAUUGGAGGGCAAAUCGAACCUAAAUCAAUGCAUGAAUACAUAAAAACGAUCACCUAGUCGUGGGGAUCACAAGUUUGACGCUUAACAAGCUAGAUGGAAGCUUGGGAAGGAAGCGGGUCAAACGGAUUGAAUACGCGGAGAAAGAGCGAAAUCGGAUGAAAGGUAAGUUAAACUUACACCCCCUUUUUUUUAAUUACAAUACACUUACUUGUGAAGUAUUGAUUUUGAAUUAUGUUAAGUAAUUGAGAUACUAUGUUCCGGCACAAUACAAUGUAAGUCGGAAUAAAGAAAAAUGGUAAGAAACCAUAAACUAUGGUAAAGAGGGUAAAAACGGUAGACUAGUCGAGUGAAGACUAACCAAUAAGGAAUUUUGAACAUCGCGUUAUGGGGUGAACCGUGAUGGGUAAAAGUGGCUAAUUAAUAAUCCGUAUAUGAGUUGACGAAAAGAUAAAAGAUUUAAAAAGGCAACCUUUUGGUGUAAACCUUAACGGGUCAAAUAAUUCAAGGAAUGUCUUUUAAGUAAUAAGAAAUCAUGGUGUAAACCGGAAUAGGUUUAAGGGGCGAGAUGAUAUUAAAAUACCAUCAUAUGUUGGUAAAUGGUCAUAUCGACUAAAUGGGUCAAAUGGUGCGUUAGUACCAUUCGACAAUAUUAACUGAUGACUACUUGUUGAGUUUUGUGAUCACAGGAAAUAAUAUAUGUUUGCGUUGCUUUAACUAGAAAAAAAAAUUAAAGAAAAAGGUAUGUAAAUGGGUCAAUGCUAUGACCCAAGCCAGGUACGCAUAAUUAGAUUUAUAGUUAAAAGUGGUAUUUUGGUCAAAUAAUUAGCGAAAGUACUUCGUCGUAAAAUGAGGGACUAAAAUUAACCAAAAAGCCCUUGAUUGGUAAAUUGGGAAAACGACCCAUAUGGGUUGCUUAGGAACUUGCAUUAUGAUUAUGGAAUAGUGGUAGACACUUUAAAUGUGGAAAUGUAAAGCGCGAAAAGAAUAGAGUGAGUUUUAGACGAAAUUGCUUAAAAUCCCCUAAAUGGGUCAAAAUGGAUUUAUGCGCAUAGCUUGUGUACUAGCCGCAUAUUUCAUAAGAAAGUAUGAACCCAAGCUAGAGAUCUUGUGUUAAAUGUAUUGAAGUAUGUAUUUUGAUAAUUUAGAAACAAGUUGGUGGUCUUAAUUACAAACGGGUCAAAAGUUGAAUUUGAAUAAUAAGCCGAAUGCUUAAAAGUUUAGAAUUUUAUUAGUUCGAAUGUUGAAUUUUAACUUCAUAUGAUGGAAAAUUAAAUUACAAUCGCAUAGGAAAAAUAAUCGUGUAAAACGGGCUUGUAGAUAAAAAGUUAUGACAAUUUCAAGUUUGAUUUUUGUUGAAAGUUGGAGCUGGGCAGAAAAUGCAGGAUCAGGCACAGUCCUGCUGGAAACUGGUCUCCCCCGCGGCACGCGAAGGGAAAUGGUGGUCCGGGCGUGACACGCGGGUGCUGUCACGGCCCGCGAAAGGUUAAGCGAAGUCUCUCGCGGGGCGCGAGAGACAUAAAACCAGAAAAUUAUUUUUUAUUUUGUUUGUUUUAACAAUGGAACCUGUUUUAACAUGUUUUUAUGUAUGCAAAACUAACUUUUAUGUUGGUUUUGACAUUAGGUGGUAAUAGCAAGUUUCCGGAUGGCGAUCAAGCAACGAACAAGAACCGAACACACCUCCGAACAAAGCUUCUGCGUUAAUAUAUUUUGUUUUGGUUAAAUAUGAAACAUGUAAACAUUUGGUGCUAUAUUUUGAAUGUUAUAACCUAGUAUGAAUGUUAACUUAGAAAAGUUUUUUUUUUGUUUUUGUAAAGACGCAUUUUAGUAUAAAGUGCGUAUUUUAUUAAUAUAAUCGUAUUA
rnacentral:lncRNA from 1 species